AAAAAUACGUUUACGGGAUUUAAUUAAAUAAUAAGCGUCUGUCACCGUCAUCACGCGUUAUUUUUUAUCACGAUACUUAAUUUUUUUAAUAAUAUUAUUGGGUAUACAUACGCCUAAGGUUUCGAUUUGUUUUUAUUUCUCUUCAAAGAGAAACGGCGUAUGAAUAAAUGAUUUUAAAAAACAAGCGCAAUGUUUAAAUUUAUUAUUUUUUGGCACGCGACAAACUUUGAUGAUAAUAAUAAUAUAAUUUUAGAUAUUUUAAAAUACUGACUACUACGCUCGUAUACAGCGUAUUUCAUAAUCAUCCUUUGAAGAGUUUUGUUUACUUAAGCUGCUGUGUUAGAAAAAAAAAAGAUAACAAAUUUGACUUAUGUACAUACGUAGUUGUUUUUAUUUAUUAGACAUUCUGUUU